UACGUAGGGGGCAAGCGUUGUCCGGAAUCAUUGGGCGUAAAGAGCGCGUAGGCGGUCCGGUAAGUCCGCUCUGAAAGCCCGGGGCUCAACCCCGGGAGGCGGGCGGAUACUGUCGGGCUAGAGUCCGGAAGAGGCGAGUGGAAUUCCUGGUGUAGCGGUGAAAUGCGCAGAUAUCAGGAGGAACACCAAUGGCGAAGGCAGCUCGCUGGGACGGUACUGACGCUGAGGCGCGAAAGCGUGGGGAGCAAACAGG
rnacentral:rRNA from 1 species